AAAACUUUUCCAAAAGAAAAAGAAAAAAAUCUGUUCUUAUCAGUUUAAUAUCUGAUACGUCCCCCAUCGGGGGACUACAUAUUAAAUGGAUUUUUCGAACAGGGAGUCGGAAAUGGGGCUUGCUCCGUCCGCUCCAAGCAUCGACCCGGUAUUGCAGUACCUCCGGGAACGGUGCAACACUU
rnacentral:snRNA from 1 species